UGGGGAAUCUUGCGCAAUGGGCGAAAGCCUGACGCAGCGACGCCGCGUGUGGGAUGAAGGUCUUCGGAUUGUAAACCACUGUCGGGAGGGACGAAGCUCUGACGGUACCUCCAAAGGAAGCACCGGCUAACUCUGUGCCAGCAGCCGCGGUAAUACAGAGGGUGCGAGCGUUGUCCGGAAUCACUGGGCGUAAAGGGCGCGUAGGCGGCCUGGUAAGUAGGGGGUGAAAUCUCAUGGCUCAACUGUGAGGCUGCCUUCUAGACUGCUGGGCUUGAGCACGGUAGAGGCUGGUGGAAUUCCCGGUGUAGCGGUGAAAUGCGUAGAGAUCUGGAGGAACACCGGUGGCGAAGGCGACAUCCUGGACCAAUUCUGACGCUGAGGCACGAAAGCGUGGGUAGCGAAUCGGAUUAGAUACCCCCGUAGUCCCUGAGCGGGCUGGCAAGGCG
rnacentral:rRNA from 1 species